UAGAAUGGCCACAGAGAACUCUGAGUGGAUCACUGUGGAUGAUUGGGAGAGUCAGCAGCCAGUGUGGGUGGAGACAGCCAAAGUACUAUGGUGGGAACAUCUUAAGAUCAUGUGCUUUUAGAGAACAUUUGAUUUUUGGUUGAAGUAAAAGAUAAAUCUGACACAACCUUUUUUAUUCACUUAAAGGAACAAUCACUCCAGUUGGAGAUGGCUAUAAAAAGAAAGGUCUGACUGAAGAUUGUCAUCGGCUGGGGAUGGCUAGAAUGGCCACAGAGAACUCUGAGUGGAUCACUGUGGAUGAUUGGGAGAGUCAGCAGCCAGUGUGGGUGGAGACAGCCAAAGUACUAUGCCAGGUGUUUGAAGAAAGACAGCAGUUUCUUCGAGAGACCUUUAUCCAGUCAUGAAUGAUGCCAUUGAUGCACAUCCAAGGAGCCAAUGAAGCCCCUGUACUGUUUAGUGUGGCUACUCUGGAAAAGUGUGGUGAAACUACAGGCAGACUGCCGCCAUUUGAAAACCCAGACUGCAUCCAAAGAAAUUGAUGGCAUGCCAUCCACCAAAUAAUCUGAUUCAUAUGAAUACUCAAACUGGUUGAAAACUUAAAAAAGUAUAUUUUCCAUCAGACUGUGAAGGCUCCUCAUACAGUGUAGUAUUCUGUGCAAAUAUGUGGUAGCAUUUUCUACUGAUGGGACAAGAGCAUAAUGCACCAUUGGCAGUAUUUUGAACUACAUUUACUGAUUCAUUUGAAGCAUUUUUCAUGACCAUCACUUUAAAUAAUGGAUUUAGACUUACAAGAUCCUUUCAAUGACUGUCUUGGCCAAAUCUGAGUUGACAGAAGUAUA